UUUAAGUGCAACCAUACGUUUUCGCGCUCAACUUUAAUCGUUUGUCUCAUUUGAACAUUUUUUAUAAUCAGUAUUUUUGUUGUUUUGAGAUGAUAAAAAUGAAUAGUACUUUACUCGUGACUUAUGUUUUUAAAUUUUUUUUAAAAAAUUUUCAAAUAAGACGAACGAUUAAAAUGGGAUGGAGGGAGUAAUA
rfam:Oryza glumipatula chromosome 5, whole genome shotgun sequence.